rnacentral:misc_RNA from 1 species
AAGUCGUAACAAGGUUUCCGUAGGUGAACCUGCGGAAGGAUCAUUAACGAGUUAGGGUCUUCUAGGCCCGACCUCCCAACCCUUUGUUUACUGAACCAUUGUUGCUUCGGUGGGUCCGUCUCACGACCGCCGGGGGGACCGCCGCGAGGCACCCCCCUGGCCCGCACCCGCCGAUAGCCCAACCCUUAAACCCUUUAUGAAUCGUGUCUUCUGUCUGAAUCAUGAUUAAAAAUCAAAACAAAACUUUCAACAACGGAUCUCUUGGUUCUG